CCUACGGGAGGCAGCAGUGGGGAAUAUUGGACAAUGGGCGAAAGCCUGAUCCAGCCAUGCCGCGUGUGUGAAGAAGGCCCUUGGGUUGUAAAGCACUUUCAGCGAGGAAGAACGCCUAGUGGUUAAUACCCAUUAGGAAAGACAUCACUCGCAGAAGAAGCACCGGCUAACUCCGUGCCAGCAGCCGCGGUAAU
rnacentral:rRNA from 1 species